rnacentral:rRNA from 1 species
AGGGUUUGAUCCUGGCUCAGAACAAACGCUGGCGGCGUGGCUAAGACAUGCAAGUCGAACGGACCAUUAAUUUAUUAAUGGUUAGUGGCGUAAGGGUUAGUAAUGGACAGGUAACGUACCCUGUGCUCCGGAAUAGCGUCGUUCGCCUUCGGGCGAGCUUCCGAAAGGGGCGGUAAUACCGGAUAAUAUCAUUUGUUGAUGGGCGAAUGAUCAAAGAUUUAUCGGCAUAGGAGCGGCCUAUCUCCUAUCAGCUUGUUGGUGAGGUAACGGCUCACCAAGGCAGCGACGGGUAGCGGGACUGAGAGGUUGGCCCGCAACAUCGGGACUGAGACACUGCCCGGACCUCCACGGAGGGCUGCAGUAACGAAUCUUGCGCAAUGGGCGAAAGCCUGACGCAGCGACGCCGCGUGUAGGAGGAAGUCUUUCGGGAUGUAAACUACUGUCAGGGGUAGGAAAGUUCGCUUCGGCGGAUUGAUCUAACCCAAAGGAAGUCACGGCUAACUUCGUGCCAGCAGCCGCGGUAAGACGAAGGUGGCAAGCGUUGUUCGGUAUUACUGGGCUUAAAGCGUGUGUAGGCGGAAAGGUAAGCGUUCUGUGAAAGCCCCCGGCUUAACCGGGGAACUGCUCAACGAACUCCCUUUCUUGAGGCAAGUAGGGGUGCAUGGAACUCUCGGUGGAGCGGUGGAAUGCGUAGAUAUCAAGAGGAACGCCGGCGGUGAAAACGGUGCACUGGGCUUGUUCUGACGCUGAGACACGAAAGCGUGGGUAGCGAACGGGAUUAGAUACCCCGGUAGUCCACGCCGUAAACGAUGUCUACUAGUUGUGAAGUUCUGACGCUGCCACAGCCGAAGCAAAAGUGAUAAGUAGACCGCCUGGGGAGUACGGUCGCAAGGCUAAAACUCAAAGGAAUGACCGGGCCGCACAGCGGUGGAGCAUGUGGUUAUUCGAUGCACGCGAAACUUACCAGGUCUCGAC